UGAACGCUGGCGGCGUGCCUCCUACAUGCACGUCGAGCGAACAGACGAGGAGCUUGCUCCUCUGCCGUUAGCGGCGGACGGGUGAGUAACACGUGGAUAACCUACCUAUAAGACUGGGAUAACUUCGGGAAACCGGAGCUAAUACCGGAUAAUAUAUUGAACCGCAUGGUUCAAUAGUGAAAGACGGUUUUGCUGUCACUUAUAGAUGGAUCCGCGCCGCAUUAGCUAGUUGGUAAGGUAACGGCUUACCAAGGCAACGAUGCGUAGCCGACCUGAGAGGGUGAUCGGCCACACUGGAACUGAGACACGGUCCAGACUCCUACGGGAGGCAGCAGUAGGGAAUCUUCCGCAAUGGGCGAAAGCUUGACGGAGCAACGCCGCGUGAGUGAUGAAGGUCUUCGGAUCGUAAAACUCUGUUAUUAGGGAAGAACAAAUGUGUAAGUAACUAUGCACGUCUUGACGGUACCUAAUCAGAAAGCCACGGCUAACUACGUG
rnacentral:rRNA from 1 species